rnacentral:rRNA from 1 species
GACGAACGCUGGCGGCGUGCUUAACACAUGCAAGUCGAACGGAAAGGCCCUGCUUUUGUGGGGUGCUCGAGUGGCGAACGGGUGAGUAACACGUGAGUAACCUGCCCUUGACUUUGGGAUAACUUCAGGAAACUGGGGCUAAUACCGGAUAGGAGCUCCUGCUGCAUGGUGGGGGUUGGAAAGUUUCGGCGGUUGGGGAUGGACUCGCGGCUUAUCAGCUUGUUGGUGGGGUAGUGGCUUACCAAGGCUUUGACGGGUAGCCGGUCUGAGAGGGUGACCGGCCACAUUGGGACUGAGAUACGGCCCAGACUCCUACGGGAGGCAGCAGUGGGGAAUAUUGCACAAUGGGCGGAAGCCUGAUGCAGCAACGCCGCGUGCGGGAUGACGGCCUUCGGGUUGUAAACCGCUUACGCCUGUGACGAAGCGUGAGUGACGGUAAUGGGUAAAGAAGCACCGGCUAACUACGUG